rnacentral:misc_RNA from 1 species
GAUGAAGAACGCAGCGAAAUGCGAUAAGUAGUGUGAAUUGCAGAAUUCAGUGAAUCAUCGAAUCUUUGAACGCACAUUGCGCCUCCUGGCAUUCCGGGAGGCAUGCCUGUUCGAGCGUCAUCAAACCCCAUCGUGCAAAUGAAUUAUUUUUUUUGCGCGGAAGUGACGAUUGAGCGAGAAUAACAAAUCCUCUCGCACCUCGUCGAAAUGAUUGCGGGCGGAAUUUGGGAUCGGGUUCCUCGGCGUAGUGUAUCAAUGCAUAUUUAUGCAACUUGCCGCGGAGUUGAGCCUGACCCACGCGUUCUCGCCGUACAAACACCUCAUUACUUUACAAGUUUUUGACCUCGGAUCAGGUAGGGAUACCCGCUGAACUUAAGCAUAUCAAUAACGGAGGA